rnacentral:rRNA from 1 species
GAUGAACGCUGGCGGCGUGCCUAAUACAUGCAAGUCGAGCGAACAGACGAGGAGCUUGCUCCUCUGACGUUAGCGGCGGACGGGUGAGUAACACGUGGAUAACCUACCUAUAAGACUGGGAUAACUUCGGGAAACCGGAGCUAAUACCGGAUAAUAUAUUGAACCGCAUGGUUCAAUAGUGAAAGACGGUUUUGCUGUCACUUAUAGAUGGAUCCGCGCCGCAUUAGCUAGUUGGUAAGGUAACGGCUUACCAAGGCAACGAUGCGUAGCCGACCUGAGAGGGUGAUCGGCCACACUGGAACUGAGACACGGUCCAGACUCCUACGGGAGGCAGCAGUAGGGAAUCUUCCGCAAUGGGCGAAACCUUGACGGAGCAACGCCGCGUGAGUGAUGAAGGUCUUCGGAUCGUAAAACUCUGUUAUUAGGGAAGAACAAAUGUGUAAGUAACUAUGCACGUCUUGACGGUACCUAAUCAGAAAGCCACGGCUAACUACGUG